UCCGAGUUGACCCCGGCAGUCUCCUAUGAGUCCCCACCAUAACGUGCUGGCAACAUAGGACGAGGGUUGCGCUCGUUGCGGGACUUAACCCAACAUCUCACGACACGAGCUGACGACAGCCAUGCACCACCUGUAUAGGACCCUUACGGACCCCCCAUCUCUGGAGGAUUUCCCUGUAUGUCAAGCCUUGGUAAGGUGGGGAUGACGUGUCCUUGAUAGG
rnacentral:misc_RNA from 1 species